UGGGGAAUUUUGGACAAUGGGCGCAAGCCUGAUCCAGCAAUGCCGCGUGCAGGAUGAAGGCCUUCGGGUUGUAAACUGCUUUUGUACGGAACGAAAAAGCUCUCUCUAAUACAGGGGGUGAAUGACGGUACCGUAAGAAUAAGCACCGGCUAACUACGUGCCAGCAGCCGCGGUAAUACGUAGGGUGCAAGCGUUAAUCGGAAUUACUGGGCGUAAAGCGUGCGUAGGCGGGUCGGUAAGUGGGUGGUGAAAGCGCCGGGCCAAACCGGGCGAGGUCCAUUCAGACUGCCAACCUAGAGGCGGAUAGAGGGGUGCGGAAUUCCUGGUGUAGCGGUGAAAUGUGUAGAGAUCCGGAGGAACACCAGUGGUGCAAACGGCGCCCUGGGUCCGAACUGACGCUGAGGCACGAAAGCGUGGGGAG
rnacentral:rRNA from 1 species